GCGGCACAGAUGGGGGAAAGCUGGAGUAAUGGUUUUCGGGCAAGCGGAUGCUGGAGAGCACACACAGGAGUUGGGGGGUGGGGGAGGGCCUGGGCUUGGGGAGGGCUCGAACUCGGGGCUGCUGGGUAGUCCAGGAGGGCGCGGUAAGGCUGGGGUAUCCUGGUGAGAACUGGAGAGGAUCUACCUGGCUCCCUGCCUGGCCAGUGGGGAAACACCGGUCUCCCAGGCACCUUCACCCAACCAGAGCGGGGAUUUCCACCGCCCCUUCUGCCGCCCUUUGGAGGAAAGUGAAAGUGAAAGGAGGAAGAGGAGGCUUCAUGGCUGAGGAGGUCGCAGCGCCAUGAAGUCCCUGUCUCUGCUCCUCGCUGUGGCUUUGGGCCUGGCGACCGCCGUCUCGGCAGGACCUGCGGUGAUCGAGUGUUGGUUCGUGGAGGAUGCGAGCGGAAAGGGCCUGGCUAAGAGACCCGGUGCACUGCUGUUGCGCCGGGGACCGGGGGGGCCGCCGCCCCGGCCGGACCUCGACCCUGAGCUCUACCUCAAUGUGCACGACCCCGCGGGCGCCCUCCAGGCUGCCUUCAGGCGGUAUCCCCGGGGCGCCCCCGCACCACACUGCGAGAUGAGCCGCUUCGUGCCUCUCCCUGCCUCUGCGAAAUGGGCCAGCGGCCUGACCCCGGCGCAGAACUGCCCGCGGGCCCUGGAUGGGGCUUGGCUGAUGGUCAGCAUAUCCAGCCCAGUCCUCAGCCUCUCCAGCCUCUUGCGACCACAGCCAGAGCCUCAGCAGGAGCCUGUUCUCAUCACCAUGGCAACAGUGGUACUGACUGUCCUCACCCACACCCCUGCCCCUCGAGUGAGACUGGGACAAGAUGCUCUGCUGGACUUGAGCUUUGCCUACAUGCCCCUCACCUCUGAGGCCGCCUCAUCUCUGGCGCCGGGUCCCCCUCCCUUUGGGCUAGAGUGGCGACGCCAGCACCUGGGUAAGGGACAUCUGCUCCUGGCUGCAACUCCUGGGCUGAAUGGCCAGAUGCCAGCAGCCCAAGAAGGGGCCGUGGCAUUUGCUGCUUGGGAUGAUGAUGAGCCAUGGGGCCCAUGGACCGGAAAUGGGACCUUCUGGCUGCCUAGAGUUCAACCCUUUCAGGAGGGCACCUAUCUGGCCACCAUACACCUGCCAUACCUGCAAGGACAGGUCACCCUGGAGCUUGCUGUGUACAAACCUCCCAAAGUGUCCCUGAUGCCAACCCUUGCAUGGGCCGCCCCAGGGGAGGCACCCCCAGAGUUGCUCUGCCUCGUGUCCCACUUCUACCCUUCUGGGGGCCUGGAAGUGGAGUGGGAACUCCGGGGUGGCCCAGGGGGCCGCUCUCAGAAGGCCGAGGGGGAGACGUGGCUCUCGGCCCUGCGCCACCAUUCUGAUGGCUCUGUCAGCCUCUCUGGGCACUUGCAGCCGCCCCCAGUCACCAUUGAGCAGCAUGGGGCACGCUAUGCCUGUCGAAUUCACCAUCCCACCCUGCCUGCCUUGGGACGCAGCGCUGAGGUCACCCUGGAGGUAGCAGGUCUUUCAGGACCCUCCCUCGAGGACAGCGUAGGCCUUUUCCUGUCUGCCUUUCUUCUGCUUGGGCUCUUCAAGGUGCUGGGCUGGGCUGGUGAGUGUGAGCCCCACCCUGACCAUGACCUGAGGCUGGUGGACUUUCCCCACCUACUCCCAGGAGCCUGACACCCAUCCCUCUGCCCUCCACCUCUACCACUCCGGCAUCCCAUCCCUUCUCAAUCUUUUCCCACAGCUGUCUACCUGUCCACCUGCAAGGAUUCAAAGAAGAAAGCAGAGUGAGGGCACUCACCACCAUCCUCUGGAAGCCACCAUCAUCUCUGGCCCAAGCUUCUGUAGUAGCUCCCCAAAAUAAUACCCCAUCAUCUGCUCCUACUCCGUCCAAUCUCUCUCCACUGAGUGGCUGGAAUGCUUUUUUUUUUUUUUUUCACUUAUAUAAGGGAGAAUUUUUUUUUUUUUUUUUUGAGACGGAGUCUCACUCU